rnacentral:rRNA from 1 species
UUUAAGGUCUAAUCUGCCCAAUGAGGGUUUAAAUGGCCGCGGUAUUUUGACCGUGCAAAGGUAGCAUAAUAAUUAGUUUUUUAAUUGAAAGCUGGAAUGAAUGAUUGGACGAGAAAAUAGCUGUCUCAAUUUAAUUUUAUUAGAAUUUUAUUUUUAAGUAAGAAAGCUUAAAUUUUUUUAAAAGACGAGAAGACCCUAUAGAGUUUUAUAUUUUUAUAUUUAUAUUAAUAUUUUUAGAAUUUUAAUUUUAGUAUAUAUAAAAUUAUUUUGUUGGGGUGAUAGAAAAAUUGAAUUAACUUUUUUUAUAUUUGAACAUUAAUUUAUGAUUAAGUGAUCCAUUAUUUAUGAUUAAAAGAUUAAAUUACCUUAGGGAUAACAGCGUAAUUUUUUUUUAGAGUUCUAAUCGAAAAAAAAGAUUGCGACCUCGAUGUUGGAUUAAAAUAUACGUUUGGUGUAGGGGCUAAAUAGUUGGGUCUGUUCGACCUUUAAAAUUUUACA